ACCCAGGGCUUCACAUCUUCCAGGUAAGCACUCUACCACUGAGCUAUAUUCCCAAUCAAAACAAAUGUGUCUAAUUAAACUUUUAUGCUAUUUGGGGAGCCUUCAGAAGCAAUCAGCCAAGGACGCAGAAGGUUCAGAGAAAACUGCUAUUAUACUUUGGUUUGAAAUGGGGUGCACAGCAUCAUAGAGAUGUGAUUGGACAGGAACGUCUGUCUAACAGCCACAGACUAAGGGGUGAGACCUAGCCGCCUGUCUGCUGGGAUCCCUUUGGCUGUGUCUUAGUCAGGGUUUCUAUUGCUGUGAAGAGACACCAUGACCAUGGUAACUCUCAUAAAGGACAACAUUUAAUUGGGGCUGGCUUACAGUUCAGAGGUUGAGUCCUUUAUCGUCAUGGAGAGCACGAGGCAGGCGGACAUUGGAACUGUAGAAGUUGCUGAGAGUUCUACAGCUCUGCAGGCAGCAGGGAGAACAAGCCACUGGGCCUGGCUUGAGCUUCUGAAACCUUAAAAACCACCCCCAGUGAAACACUUCCUCAAACAAGUCUUAAUCCUUUGAAACAACGCCACUCACAAUGAACCUGUGGAGGUUAUUUUCAUCCAAACCACCAGAGUACACAUGGCUGGACAUGGGGUGAGCUGGACACCCCUGAAAUGAGGGUAAGUGAGAGACGUAUGAAGUUAAGAGUGGCAUGCCUAGUUUCCUGGCUUGCUUUUAGGGACAGGGGUUCUAGGUUCUGUCACCUGCCUAGAGGUGACUUUCUAUGACCCGAACUGUGGGGGAAUGAGACAGAGUUAGUCAAUGGGGCAAGAAAAGGUCUGUGAGAUCUUGAGUCUAAGGCUUUCUAAACUCCUAUAGUUGGAAAGAUUCAGGCAUUAUAUUUUAGAAUGUGUUUUUCUAAGCAACUAAAUAACCUUCUAUUUAAAUACCAUCCUACCUAGCCUCUGUUCCAUCCAGCUAACCUUCCACACAGCUACCUAUCCACCUAAAUAUUCUUAUACACAACCACUUCCAUUGACAGGGUCAUCGUCUGACCCUACACUCUUGGCAUUGAAUAAGAGCCCAUACAAUCUCUACGCAUAGGGACCGGAGAUGCCAGAUUAAGGCUGAGCCAUCAUAGAACAUCAUUGUGUUAAAAGGGUGCAUGAGUGUGAGUGUUCAGCGUGCGGGACCUAGGACAAUCCCUUGGACAGCUGCUUGAAUAAAUCUUACAUGAUGAAUUGGUUCUGUGUGACUGUGGGCAAGGGCCAGGAGGCGUAGUUCCAUGAGUAAUUGAUGGGCCAGGCUACAGGCCUCUCAAAAGAUCCUUGUUAAAUUGUCAGCUGCUCAGCCCAAUGGCCCACGUUCUUUCUUAGUUUACUGCUGGCCUUUCCCCAAAAUGAGUUUCUGUUGGAUCCAUGCCUCUGUCCAUAAGUCUCGUCACAAUGGGGCAGACCGCAGCUGCUGACCCCCAGCCAUGUGCCCAGGGCUCACACUCUUGCACCCUUUCGAGUGUUUUUCAGGUCCACAGUCGCAGCCUCUCACCUUCGACACCCUGCCAUCGUGCUUCUAGAUGGCCUCAUAGUUUGUGUCAGUGCUCUCCCACUGAGCUAUAUCCCCAACUCUGGUCUCAUCUUUUAAAACAUUCUUAGGGUCUAUGUGCCCAGGCAUGCUUGUGGUGGGGGUAUCAGUCCUCUCCUUCCACCUUUAUGUGGUCCCAGGGACUGGGUUCCCACCUUAACGCCCGAGCAGGAAGGACCUUGACUGCUGAGCCACCUUGCCAGUCGCUGACACCACAUUGGGAUGUUUGUCGUUGUAUCACGACACUACCCAGACGCCGGCCACAGAAUUUAGGGACCCGAGCUUCCAUCCACCAUGUUCUCUACGCACCCACACAGAAAUGGUGCUCCAGACCUCGUUUCGCCUAGGAAUCCGGAGUGAAACAGAUUGCUCCCCGCUGGGAGCGGCUGUGGGAUGAGCAGCGAGCAUCCUCCUGGCUCCCGGGGCCAAUCCUGGAGUAGGUGCUGGAUGAUUCCUACUGCUGCUGGCUCUGGCAGGUCCAGCUGCUGUCAUCAGCCACGUUAAUGGUGCUGGGCACGGAGACUCCUCCCUUCUGCCUUUUACUGGACACACACAUACACACACACACACACACACGCGCAGCGCAUGCGCUGCGCGCAGGCUGCACAGCUGUUUUCUUGAUGCUAUUCCCCAACUAUCAGGACAUUUAAGAGAUAGUUAAGAGGCUUUCUUCCUUCUGCCUGAUGCCUGUGGAGACAUUGCUGCCACGGCCACUCUUUGUUAUGGAUGUGGUGUGGGUGGGUGUGGGGCGACUUUCUAAGUGGGGAGGAGACACCUGCAGGAAAAGCUGAAUUUGAUAGGCAGAUUCCCUAAACCGCGAACCGACUGGCGACUUAGAGGCUAAAGGACAGCCGUCUCAGCUCCCGGUACCGCGGCUGCGGUGGCUUUAGCUCUUCCUGUUUAUCACCCCCUUUUUCUUUCGCUGGUGUUGGUGUCCCCCCACCCCUAUUGGUAGUUAGGAACUGGGGAAGUCCUCUUUGUUAGGCAUGCUUGCUGUUCCAGGAACCGAGGCCUCCAUUUCCAUGGGAGAUGAUGGGUCUUUGCAAUUCUGCAUCUGACUGUGGGAGCAAAGACUGCUUUGCAAGUGAAUGUGAGGACCGACUCCUCCACCAGCUCCUUCCCCUCCUGCCCCCACCCCCACCCGCGCCCCUAACCACCUUCCCCAUCCAUCCUCUUACCCACCCUGGAGCUUAAAUGUCCUCAGAUAAGUGGCCAUUUCUUCCUCAUUGUCUUCAGACAUACAAAAUCCAGCUCCCUUAAAAAAAAUAAAAAAAUAAAAAACUUCCAGGGAACUCCUGCCAAGCUCUACUGUAGCUUCUGGGGAAGGGAGGGGGGGUUCAAACUUCCUCAUCACAACACUUGUGCUUUAUCUGGUGAGUGUGCCAGUGUUUGUACCACUGUUCAGCCCCUGCUAGAGGCUUCUAGAAAGAAGCAGACCUGCUUCCUGGGUAAGCCCAGCUGCUCGCACGCAAGCACGCAUGGAGUCUGUUUGGGAGGUGACCCUCAGCAUGGGAAGUGACCUGCCUGAAGCCAUGCAGCUUGGAGGUAGCUGGGCCCACGCUUGCACAGGUGUUUGGACCCACAUUUAAUCUCCAGCUCUCUAACCGGCCUGCACCUGGCCUCAGGACUUUGCCCUGGGUGCCUCAGGUGAAUGGAGUAAAGGCUGCCCAGGAGACAGGGGCUUUUUUCUGUGGUCUGUAAUCUUUGGCCAUUCUGGGUUAAUGAGGGUAUGGAGAGAUCUGGGGGAAGGUUGGGUCAGGCUUCCAGGUGAUAGCCUAGUGACAGCUGGCUUCAGCGUCCAUCUGGUCGUGUUUGUCCCCUGCGCACCGGGUGGCUUCUCUAGGCCCACCAUGGGAAGGCGCUUCUGUUACCAAACGCUGAGCCAUGAAAGUACCCAGAACUCCUCUUGCACAGGACAGGUCCUGUCCUGAUGGUCUAGAGGGGUCUGGCAGCAAAGGACCACUGCAGGUUGCAGUGGGGUAGGGGGCUGGCAGGUGACUGGGGAGGGUUAGAAUGUUUGAGUCUAUGUAGGAGGCACAAGGAGGCUUGGUGCAGGGAAGAAAGCCAGCCAGCUGGAACCAGGCUCACUGUCAAGCCCCUGCUCUAGGAGUUUGGGCAUGCACCCCAUCCAUCCCUUGGAGAGCCGUGGUCUCCUUCAGAUGGGACUGGUGAGCUCUGUCCUCAGGUUUGUGACCAGGACUCAGUGACAGGGUGCUUCUUUGGAACCCUUGCCAGUAUCUCCUGGGUGUCGACUGCUUUCCCUGCUUCACUACAGAACAGACCCAUUGAAAGGUUCAGGCCUUACUCUGGCCCGCGCCCGUUACCCGGCAGCUCUCUGGCCAGCCCAGGGUUCCAUGAGAACCAGUCUGCACGCAGGUGCAAAGGACCCCUCUAAAAGAUAGACCCCUGCCCGCUUACGCUCUCUUAUCCAACUCUUCUUACAUCUCUUCUCUCUCCUCUCUCUCCACGUUCUUCUCUCCCCCUCCCUCUCGCUCACGCCGUGGGAAUAAGCUAUGCUCACAUGCUUUCCAUGGCUUGUGCUGUUUCUCACCGGUUCCGUGCUCACGCCCGUGUUUCAUCUUUCGCCCCUUGUAAUUUCUAACUUAAACAAAAUGACAACACCCAUGCUGAAUGAAUCUCACCCUUCCUCUCUUCCUCCUUGUCUCUGCUUGCCUCCCUCCUUCCCUCCCUCCCUUGUUAUUGGGUAGUCUUAUGUUCCUAAGGACGUUCUCUGGUUCUCAGUCCUGGGGACCGAUCCUAGAGUCUCAUGCACGUUCGACUAGCGCUCCACUGUUGGUGGAGCAGCUGCCUGGCAUCCAGAUGAUCCUGUGUUCAAUCACCAACACCACACAGGCCAGGCCUGGUGGUACAUUCCUGGAAUCGCAGCACUUAGGCCGUGGAGACGGGAGAAGCAGGGAUUCAAGCUCGUCCUUGGCUACGCACUGAGUUCGAGGCCAGACAGGGCUACAGAGACUGUAUUAAAAAAGUAGACAUGGGCAGAAGCAGGUCUGAGUAGUGCGACGGAGAAAGUUGGCUGGCUUAGAAGAUGAGGGGGAUAUUGAGCAGCAUCUAGAAGUUAGGGAAAUGACAGGGAAACAGGAAUAGAAACGUAUCUUGGACUUUCCAUUUCCCAAGCUGUGUGCUAAUAUCUCUGCAGUUGGUGGCCAUCUUGGCAUUAGCCCACUGGACAUGGGAACAGAAGCAACAGGCAAAAAAGUUCCUUGGGUGUGGCCAUACUGGGUGGUCCUGAAUUUGAGCAUGCUCAGUGAGACCCCUGAGGCCCGUUUGAUUGCCUGGCAGGAUGGCUGAGUAACCAGGUGUCGUCGACAGGCCUGACCUCAAUGUGGACCACGGUAAGAAGAUGCCCUCCAACAGGCUGUGUUUGCAGACGACAUGGAGCCUCUCGUAGGGAUUUUCUGAGCCCUGUGGAUUUACAGUAAGAUGCAGUUUCCUGGGGAGUAAUGCUGCCGGAUGCUGACUCUGGAAUAACAUACCUGGCUCGCCUUGGGAUGCUACAAAUCACCUACUGGGUUCUUGGAAUCUGGAUGCCCACUGGGGACAAGGACCAUAGCCGAGAAGACUGCAUCCCUACCCUUGACUCAAUGAGAAUAUUUGCUCUGAUCUCUCGGGCAACCUGGAGCUCCCUCUAAAAUUCUAGCAUACCCAGUAAGCAUUCCAGAAGGAUUUGAGAGUCAUCCCUUCCUAAAAUGAAGCUGCAGGCUUUGGGGAUUUGGAAAAUUGCGAAACCCGGGAUGCUCCCAGAUCACCCGGUUCCCGCUGUACCCUCUGCUCCUGCCUGCCGUUCACGAUGCUGAUCUGGUUUCCCUCCUCCAGUCUUCAGUCUUCCGGCAGAGCACACGGCUGGAAAAACGUAUUUGACUGGAAGAAAGAAUCCGUGUAUUAAGUUCCAUACUUUGCUGGAACAGCAAGAAGAUGCUCGCUCUGAACACGUAGAACCAACCUCUGUCCGCUUCAGGCAUUCAGCACUCGUGGCAGCUGUCACUCACCCUCCAGCCUACGACUGCCCUUGACAUACGGCUUUGAGAGCAUUCUCCGCAAAGCCACUGUGAACCAGAGCAUAUGGGGACCACACUAAGAUGAGAAGCAUCUACUUAGAGAUACCAAGUAACUUGGUGCAACUGCUGAAUAGCAGACUGGAGGAAAUUCUAUAAGACAGUUGAACCUUCCAGAGUUGGUAGGGGACUGUGUGGACCUUCUCAGCUAUGAGAGUGGCCCUAAAAAAAUGAGACACUCUUUCCAGAAAACAAAGAUUCUGGGAGCUUGAAGAAGAAAGAAGAGAGCCCGUUCCCUCCCCAGCCAGGAUGUCUCUCACCAUACUCAAUACUUCCCACCAGGAUCAUUGCUGGACUGUCCUCUUUCAACCUAGGUCUGAUGGAAUAUUUGCCUGGAAAUUUUACUUUCAAUUAAACUCACUUGCUAAACCGCUUCUAUCUUCAAAGGUUUCCAUUAGGAUGGGUAAUUACAGCUAUUGCUACAAGGCAUUAUUUGCGCUCAAUUUCAGCUUUUAGGCAAUUCAGCUCAAACGUUUCAUAUUUUUACUCUUGGGAGGGGUGUGCAGCCAGCAUCCUCUUACACUUUAGGCUUCCCGUGGGCUAUUUUUAGAAACCUGAAUCAAAACAGCAAUUUUGGUGGUGACCAUACCUAGUCUAAACUCAAGUGUUGAUGGAAACAGCCAAAAGCAAAAGCUAUACAGAGCAAGAAAGACACCCCCCACCCCCCCCACCCCCGUUUAUGGGUCAAGUGUUUGGAAACUUCAAGUGAUCAUUUAUAUUAUGGUAAUUCUUUGCAAACUAACUGAAGCCAAAAAGCAAUGGAAAUUCCUUCCAAACUGCAGAGAUUUGUCCUUCUGCUGACUGUUGGUCCUAAUUAUGGCGCUUCAAGAUGGCAGCCAUGGAAGAGUUUAGUGGGGAGCCUGUUUUGAUGUCUGUGUUUUCCAUGAAAUGGGAAUUUCUUUCUAUUUAUUGUUUGUGUGUACAUUGAGUGUAUAUUUGUGUGUGUAUGUGCAUGUUUGUUUGUAUGUUGUAUAUGUGUGGUUACAAGUACUUGUAUGUUAUAGCACAGAUGAGGUUAAAAGCCAGCUUUCAGUAUAUAUAGCUUCAGGAGAUCCAAUGCCCUUUUGUGACUUUUACAAGCACCGGCCCACAUGUGGCAAACACCCACAUAUACACACACUCAUAUACACAAAAGAAAUAACAUAGUUCAAGUAUUGUUUUAAGCAUAUUUAUGGAAACCUUCUGGGAAGAAACUGUCUUUUAAAAAUUACUGUGUAUUAUAAUGUUUUGAUUGUAAGUGAAGAGAUUCACAUAUUAUUGAUUGAAUAAAAGUUAAGUGGGGCAAAAAAAAAGCCAGCUUUCAGGGGUUGGUUUGUUCCUCCUGCUGUGAAUUCUGGAAUACAGCUCAGGUCACCAGGUGUUAAAUCAAGCACUUUUACCCUCUCAGCCAUCUUUGGGCCAAGAACACUUUCCCUGUAUUCAUAACUCUGCUCUCUUUUCUUCUUCUGCCAGCAGACAUGCAGUCUACCUCAUGAUUGCUAACCUACUCUCUCUCCACAAAAGUUAAGUUCUCAGCUAUGGACCAUGGCUGUUCUCUCUCCCGUCACGUGCCUACCUCGUAAUAGGUGCUUGCGUGAUGAAUUGAUGAAUGAAUAAAUGAAUGAAUCCUCUAUGACUUUUAUUUUCUGUUUUUGAAAAAGUCAAUAUUUUACUGAAUAAACAUUGAAUGAUUGCAUUCAUUUUGAAACACAAACAAACAACAAACCCCUAGAAACUUUCCCAAGAAGGCCGACAUACUUCUAAUGUGUAAAUUGCAAAUCUUUGCCUCAUCCUUAUCUCUGUAUAGGGAAUAAUUUGUCAUAAUCCUGGAGCACAUUUUUUAAUAAAGUGUUAUCAUGCUAAGUGGGUAUGUCACCUUUGAUUUGAA